GCUGGUGAUCAACGAUAGACGAUAGUCACUAAUUAAUAACUGCAUUUUUGGCAUAUUCACCUUUGUAAAUAGUUAUGCCUUUAUUUUAUUAAUGAAUCAUGUAUUUUCAUUUCAAGUUGUUUACUUCGUUUGAACAUGCACUGCAGAUGAAAGAUAAAAGGAUGAGGGAUUACUGGUUGACUGGGAUGUAUUUCUUCUGGAUACACAGGUCACCUGCACUCAAGCCAGAGUGUAUUGGUAACAUUUUCAUGGUAUUUCUACUUAAAGAUUGUUCCAAUUGGUUUUAGUUCUUAAGCGCUUGGACUGAGAGAAAUGGCCAACGAGAUGGGCAACAACAACGUUAUUGGUCAGCAAGAGGAUGUCGUGAGCCACUGGUGAUUUCCAAUAUACAGCAAUUCUAAACCCCAGCUGAAUAUCUUAUUCACUUGAUUUAUUAGUUUCCAGGAUGACCGCUCAUAGCUCACAUUUGGUAUCAUAUGGUGUGCACCUUCCGAGAUGAAUCAUAGG